AGCUACGAGUGCAUCACAAUGGGUUUCAUCCCCCUGCGAGCUGCACUCAAGUCCAGGCUCCCGCAUCUGUGGCCACGUACUGAAUUUUACAUGACUUCACCAUCUCUGAGGGAGAAAUGAGGACAUGAAAUGGGACUGGUGAUUGCAGCACAAAUCCUGCUGGUUUUAAUUGACAAACCAAAAGAUCCUCAGAUCCUAACCCUCUGUUUUGAUAUUUUUAAUGAUCUGAGUGGGGAAGACCCUGUGGACUCAGACUAGCUGACUUCAGAGCUGGUGAAGGAGCUUUUAACAGGCACAUUUCCUAGCCUAGCCACAACAAUCUUUGCAGAAGCGGCAUUGCUGAGUAGAUGGAGCUCCUCUGUUGUGGGAACAGCUUGUGUGCCUGAAGGUCAGGGCAAGAUCAUUGCUCACCUGAGGAAAAUCAAGCUGGCUCCUGCACGUAAUUGCAGCGAAUGGCCACCAGUGGGACGGGGGGAGCAGGGAUGCAGUGCCUGCCUGCUGCGGCUUUAAAGACAGUGCUUGCGCCAUCACCUGGAGGGCUGGCAGGGAGGGCUGCACAAAUCUGGGGAUGCGUUUUCUGGAAGUCCUGAGCAUUUGGCAUCGAGUUCCUGCUCGUUGUCAUUGGGGACCCUGGGCUGAACUGAAUGGUACUGAGGACACAUCCCCACCUGCAUAUGUGGCAGUGUCACCGCUUCCUGAGAAAAAGCAGAGCUGGAGACAGCAGCACACCAUGAGACCAGCACAUGGUGACAACAGCACAUGGUGACAGCAACAGCACAUGGCGGCACUCACGUGCACAGGAGCAUGGGCAAGGGCGAAGGCCACCUGCAGAAGAGGUGCCUUCUGGUUUCAUGUCACAGUGGACGACGGCAAAUCCCAGCCAAAUUGUCAAUGCCUCUGGCACAAGCAGGCAUUGAACUCCUUACCCAUGCAGGAAAUAAGUCUGACCCCUGUGGAAGCAGCUGGACUCUGCAAUGUCUUUUUUAGAUAUGCCACUAGAGGGGAACCAAGAUCUAUAGUAUUUCUGAGGUUUGCAGGGAACAGCGGAAAUCUUCCUGUGAUCCCUGAGCCACAGUGCCCGCCUGGAGCUGCCUGCGCCAGCACCAAGUGAAUGCUGUUCCUCGUUGCUGCUGAAUUCCAUGAGACAGCAAGAAAAAAAUCAAAUGUAUUGACUGCAUUUAUCCCAACCAAUGAUGAGUAAAA
rnacentral:lncRNA from 1 species